GAAGCUAACUGCUGAAAGGCCUACAGAUAAUAAGAAGGGGUUUCGAGAGCUAUAGCACCCUCCAGCUGUAAGAAAAGUGAUGUCAUCAUGUUCGAUGCGUUCAAGUGGAGUGUGACACCGUAGCGAGCAGCGUGGAUUUUGGACACACUCACACCCGGCUUUCUGUACAACAUUUCCAACUUGAUUCAAUCUACUCGAAUCCGAUUCUGUGUUAUCGUACUGCACUCUUCAGAUUUUUCGGCGUAACUUGGAGGCUUCUCUGAGACAGUGUAGGCUAAACGCGGAUGCUGAACGAACCAAGAAGAGGAAACGUAGCAUGCUGCGUGCGCUACUUUUCUUUCAUCCAUAGGCUACAUUUGCUUCAGAAGUUUUCUCCCCAAAUGUAAACGACGGCGACAGUUUUUUUGUCUUUGGUUGUUCAUGCACUUACAUUUUUUGUGCUAUUUAGUAUUUUUCCUACAAAAUAGACCAACAGUUCCAUUGACAAUAUUUUAGAAAAGCGGGUGGUCUCCACGACGGAAUACAAUUGGCGACUGAAUGAAUUGAGGCCAUACGACUGAAAGGAAACAAUUAAUUCUGCACAACGACCUGAAUGAAUUAGGAUUCUUUAUCGCUAUUCACGUGGCCUGGAGAGCUUGGUCGUGUUCCCCUGCUCAGACAUUGCAUGCAUCAACCAAUAGUUGUGUGCCACAUCAUCAACUGUGCUGUUGGGCACCAGAUUGCUAUAACAGAUAUGUUGUGCAACAUGCAUAAAGGGGCAGUUUCGUCAUUCAAAGAAGUGAAGCAAAGCAACCCCCCCAGAUGACCACAUAUUUCUUUAACAAUUCACUCAUCCCUAGUAUAAAUGUUUUCUACAGUUGUAGUGUUUUUUGUUCAAAUGAUAUCACAUUUUCUGUCUAAUCUGACAAGCAUUCACGUGGGAAAUAUAAAUGCAUGCUUUUCUAAUGUUGAUAGUUGAUAUCCUGAGGAACACUAGCUAGCAUUAGCCAUGGCAGAAAGACAUG